rnacentral:lncRNA from 1 species
AAACAAAUGAAUUCUUGAUCUCAUCCACCUAACUAUAAAGGCAGUUACAGAUGCUGGGACAUACAGAAAUAAUGUGAAAAAGUAAUAAACCAUGCGUAGCAGUAUAGCAUUUUUACAACAUAAACACAAAACUUUAUUGGUAAGUUACACUACAUUUUUCUUCUUUUCUGGAUAUUAAUUUCUGUAGAGACACAAAGAUGUCAAAGUUGACAAGCAUACAAAUCACUGAGUCGCUAAAGAAUGGUUGGAAGGUUUCUGGAGGUCGUGAGAGUUCAGUCUCCUAGAUGAAGGAGUGUUACCCCACUCCUAGGUCAGGGGUGAUGUCUGAAGUACUCCAAGGACAGUUCUGAUAAUUCCUAGUCUUGAACAGCCCUCCUGAACCUCCCAAGACUACACAUGUGGCACUUCUGCUACAUCAUCUGGCACUAUUGUCACCUUCAUAGUAGCCCUUCAAGUAGUUAGAAGCAAUCACUAAGCCCUUCAUUAGCCUUCUCUUCCCAGGACCACCAAAGCUCAGUUCCCCCACCCCCCCAUCGUUCUUCUAGGGUAUGUUUUAGGCACCGACUUUCUUAGACACCCAUUACCGGACCAGUUUCUCCUGUAAGUGGGGGUCCCCAGCACUCCCUGACAUUUGCCAGCUCCCAGUGUCCAGAAGAGCAGCACUGUAAAUUUCCUCUUGGGCACCCUUCUUGUACGCGAUCGGCCGGUGCCAGGAUGUUCUGGGUCCGCGCCACGGCCUCUGCCUGGUGCUUCCUUGAGGCCAGCCCCGGGCCCACUGCCGGGAGCAGUUUGAUAUCAUAGCGGCUGCAGACCUCGGUCCUUCCCCGCAGCAAGUCACUAACAGCCACGCCAGUCCUGGGAGCUUUCUGCCCGUGGCCCAACCGGGACAAGGCGUUUCUGCGGCCGCAGUAGCGGCCAGGUCACCUCUGAGUGCAGGUUGGUUCCUAUCCCUCUCCCAUUCCAUUGGAUUUAUGGGGAGAAGACAGCAAGCAAGAAUGGAUGCUUCACAGCUGGCAAUGGUCAACCUAUCACACAGUGGAGAUAUUUCUUGCUGAUAAAUGAUGCUGUGGAAGUAGCCAAAGCAGAAUUCUUUCAGGUAAUUCAGGUAAUAUGUAUUGUUCCUUUGUAUUGAAUGGGAGAAAUAGAAAAUAACCUAUUCCAGAUUUCCAGUAUGAGAUGGACCACCCU